AUCGCUUAAUCUCCUUGAGUGGAGAGCGGGGGAACCAAAUGGCGUGUUGGCCGGCAUCUAUAGCCUGGCUGAACGCGUGGAUUGAUUCCUUGGGGUGAAUUCGGUGCAGCCGAGCCAUGAGCCGGUUCGCAGCGACAGGGCGACUCUCGCAGCCCGAACCCGACAGCUAACCUCGUCAGCGUACGGAGAGAGG
rnacentral:sRNA from 1 species